CAGCACCUCAAGUGGUCAGGAUGAUUAUUGGGCCUAAAGCAUCCGUAGCCGGCGCUGUAAGUUUUCGGUUAAAUCUGUACGUUCAACGUACAGGCUGCCGGGAAUACUGCAGCGCUAGGGAGUGGGAGAGGUAGACGGUACUCGGUAGGAAGGGGUAAAAUCCUUUGAUCUAUUGAUGACCACCUGUGGCGAAGGCGGUCUACCAGAACACGUCCGACGGUGAGGGAUGAAAGCUGGGGGAGCAAACCGGAUUAGAUACCCGAGUAGUCC
rnacentral:rRNA from 1 species